UAUUCUCUGUGCUGUUGAUCUGAAAGUGCCACUCAAACAAAGGCAACAAACUAAAAAAUCUGUAAUUUUCAAGAGUUAGAAUUAAUUUUAAAAUGCAUAAAUCUGCUCAAAAACAUUACAAAUAUGAAUGACAUGACGAUUUUCCAUUAAAAAAAUGUAGACACCUUGCCAUUGCCAAACAUUUGAAAAAGAAAAGUGAAAUUUUUAACGAACCCAAAUGUCUUCAUGUAAAACAAUAUGUGCGUAUGACUAUGAGAGUCGGAUUAUGGGGUGAAAAUGUGACUUACACGCUCCCCAUUAAACAUACGAUG
rnacentral:misc_RNA from 1 species